rnacentral:sRNA from 1 species
GCCAGGCGUGGUCGCAUGCACCUGUAGUCCCAGCUACUCAGGAGGCUGAGGCAGGAGAAUCGUUUCAAUUCAGGAGGUGGAGGUUGCAGCGAGCAGAGAUUGAGCCACUGCACUCCAGCCUGGGUGACAAAGUGAGACUCUGUCAAAAAAAAAACCAACCUUUUUUUUUCUUUUUUGAAACAGAGUCUUGAUCUCUUGCCAGGCUGGAGUGCAGUGGCUCAAUCUCAGCUCACUGCAACCUCCACCUCCUGGGUUUAAGCGAUUCUCCUGCCUCAG